rnacentral:rRNA from 1 species
GACGAACGCUGGCGGCGUGCUUAACACAUGCAAGUCGAACGGAAAGGCCCUGGUUUUGUGGGGGGCUCGAGUGGCGAACGGGUGAGUAUCACGUGAGUAACCUCCCCUUGACUUUGGGAUAACUUCAGGAAACUGGGGCUCUUACCCGAUAGGAGCUCCUGCUGCAUGGUGGGGGGUGGAAAGUUUCGGUGGUUGGGGAUGGAAGCGCGGCGAAUCAGCUUGUUGGUGGGGUAGUGGCUUACCAAGGCUUUGACGGGUAGCAGGCCUGCGAGGGUUGCCGGGCACAUUAUUACUGAGGUAAGCCCCAGACGCGAACGGGAUGCAACAGUGGGGAAUAUUACAGACUCGCAGGGCGCCUGGAGUAGCAACGCACGGUGCGGGAUGACCGGCUUCGAGUGGUAGACCGCUUUCGCCUGUAACGCAGCGUUCGUGACGGUACUGGGUCAAUAAGCACCGGCUAACUACGUG